GAUGAACUUUGGCACAACCAUCUAAUAAAACAUCAAGACAAACUGUGAAACAAAUAUUCUGCUCCCCUAAAGGAAAACAUACAUACCCCACAGUGUGACACAGACAUGCAAUACAACAACAAAAGACUCGGAUCAGAUUUUGUUUUUUUCUCCGAUAUCUGAUCCAGUAAUUUUACCAGAUAUUGAGCCAACACUGAUCCAAAAUGUUGGAUCAGUGAACCCCUAAUAAUAACAAAUAAAUCCAGAAACAGAUAUCUGAACUAAAACUCUUGAAACGUCCCAUUUACUACAAUCUCAAAAGAACUCCAUUCCUAUAGUUGUUUUUCAGAUCAUCACCCAUUCACCCCCCCCCCCCCCCCCCCCCACCACCACCCACACACUACAUUCAUAGCAACCAAGGUCAAACCCAGCACUCAAGCCAAUUCAACUUCAUUUGGUAAAAGUGUAACCAAAGAUUCUCUUUGGUUUCCUGUCUAAGGUCAGUUCAGGUCAGCAGUAUUUUGGAUAUCAAGCUGAUACAUACAGCAGAGAAAGCAGCAGUGAGCAUGACUCUGUGAUACAUCACUUAAAUGUCAAAAAUGAUUCAAAACUGUCUCAAUAACUGCACAAUGUCUCAGUUGACAAGUACAGUGUUUCCUCUCAUGAACAAUCAAAAACAAAUACUUUAGAAAGACUAUAUUUAAACACAGGCCCAAAAGUAGAAACUCAGUGUAACAAAAGUCAGUCUAAGUAAGCAUACCACUUAAAUGAUCACUUUUACAGCCAUUUUAAAUUGAAGUCUGGGCAUAGAUACAAGAAGAUUUUCUAGUCAGUCAAUAUGUCUUGAAGUUAAAUCAACUAAUAAAUUUAAUCAUUAUAGAAAUAAUGAGAGCAGGUUCCCUUCAAAAACAGAGUGGUAGCAAAAAAAACAGACUAAUGAGGGAAGCUUCCAAGACCCCAAUAACAACUCUGAACGACUUACAAGCACCUCUAGGCUGACAUCACCAAUCCCUUCUUUCUGCAACAUUUCUGUCCCUCACUACUUUUUCAGUUUACCAGCUGCACACACAAACAGACGUGCAUAAAACUAUGCAUUCAACAUACAGUGCCACAUGCAGACAUAUGUACACAUGCACACGCCCCUCAGCUUAAUCAGGGCCAGAUGAGAGGUUUGUGGAACAAACAUGCACACAGUCGACAACUGACGUCAUUUCAUUCCACCACCUCAUCUCUCCUGUCAGCUCCAAGUCCGGCUGCCUCCCUGGAUUACUGUGCAGCUGGACAGAAGAGCCGGGAUGGACAGACUAAAGGAAAACAGCAGGCAGUCACAAACGGACACACGGAGGGAGAUGGCAGAAUGAACGACGGGAACGAGGGAAGACAAAGUGAACGAUGGAGAUGGAAUGGUUUUGAACAGGGUCCUUAAAUAUUAAAGACAUCAGGGGAAAUGAUCUAUAAGCAGAGGGCAAAAUACAAAGCUAUGAAUUACUAGAAAAAACAUAAUAAAGGAGGGAUAAAGGGCAGGAUCAAGGUUAAUAAAUGAAACAAUUUUACACUGUCUGCUGGAAGCAACGGCAAACAACAGUAUAAGAAAGGAACACUGCUCUGUAAUGUUAAAAACUGUACUCUUUUACUGUCCUUUAAACAUAAAAAGGACUUAACAUGCAGGUCAGAUGGAAAACAAAGUGCAGCCUCAUCUCAGCAAGAAAGGAGAAGAAACUCAGGCGCUUUCAGUUUGAAGUCUGACUCCAGCCGGCUGUGCUUUGGCCUCCCUCGGGAGCUUCCAUUAUACAACCUGCCUUUGACUCCCCUAAGCCCAGCUCCCAUUUGUGAGAACCCAGAAGGGAAGGGCCACGACCUGGAUGUAGUUGGGGAAGCAGAGGUCAAACCAGGGUCAAGAUAAGGUCACAUCGUGCUCUUGUCAUACAAAGCAAAAAA